AUUGAACGCUAGCGGGAUGCUUUACACAUGCAAGUCGAACGGCAGCACAGAGGAACUUGUUCCUUGGGUGGCGAGUGGCGGACGGGUGAGUAAUGUAUCGGAACGUGCCCAGUAGUGGGGGAUAACUACGCGAAAGCGUGGCUAAUACCGCAUAUUCUCUACGGAGGAAAGGGGGGAUCAUUUGACCUCUCGCUAUUGGAGCGGCCGAUAUUAGAUUAGCUAGUUGGUGGGGUAACGGCCUACCAAGGCAGUGAUCUAUAGCUGGUUUGAGAGGACGACCAGCCACACUGGGACUGAGACACGGCCCAG
rnacentral:rRNA from 1 species